UAGCUAGUUGGUGGGGUAAAGGCCUACCAAGGCGACGAUCGGUAGCUGUUCUGAGAGGAUUAACAGCCACACUGGAACUGAGAGACGGUCCAGACUCCUACGGGAGGCAGCAGUGGGGAAUAUUGGACAAUGGGGGAAACCCUGAUCCAGCAAUGCCGCGUGUGUGAAGAAGGCCUGAGGGUUGUAAAGCACUUUCAGUGGGGAGGAGGGUUAUGAGGUUAAGAGCUGCAUAACUGGACGUUACCCAUAGAAGAAGCACCGGCUAACUCCGUGCCAGCAGCCGCGGUAAUACGGAGGGUGCGAGCGUUAAUCGGAAUUACUGGGCGUAAAGGGUGCGUAGGUUGUUGUUUAAGUUGACUGUGGAAUACCUGGGCUUAACCUGGGUUGGUCAGUUAAUACUGGACGACUGGAGUAGGGGAGAGGGUAGUGGAAUUUCCGGUGUAGCGGUGAAAUGCGUAGAGAUCGGAAGGAACACCGGUGGCGAAGGCGGCUACCUGGCCUGCUACUGACACUGAGGCACGAAAGCGUGGGGAGCAAACAGGAUUAGAUACCCUGGUAGUCCACGCUGUAAACGAUGUCAACUAGCUGUUGGUCAUAUAGAAAUGAUUAGUGGCGC
rnacentral:rRNA from 1 species